GGUCCCUUAGCUCAGCGGUAGAGCGUCUGGUCGACAUCCAGAAGGUCACUGGUUCAAUCCCAGUAGGGUCCA
rnacentral:tRNA from 1 species